CGCGUCAAGCACGGGAGCUCAGGUUACUGAGCUGAGAGGGAUAGUCCCGACCGUAGAACGUGAUCCGGUUAGUACCGGCGAACGAAGUUUUUGAUGGCCCGAU
rnacentral:ncRNA from 2 species